GCGGUGGAGUUUGUUAUCACGCUGGCGGAGGCUCGGGAGCGUGCUCCUGGGAUGAUGCGGCGGAUACCACAGUUUGUUGGGCGGCUGUUUGCGGUUCUUAUGAAGAUGCUGCUUGACGUUGAGGAUGAACCUGCGUGGCAUAGUGCGGAGACUGAGGAUGAAGAUGCGGGAGAGUCUAGUAACUAUAGCGUCGGGCAGGAGUGUCUCGAUCGGCUCUCAA
rnacentral:misc_RNA from 1 species